rnacentral:lncRNA from 1 species
UGCCUGUUUUGCGUGUCAGGUCCUCGACAGAGGCAGCAUCAAAGUGGCCCCGCCAGCGCUUGGUGCUGCGGCGCUCCUCCACCUCCACCUCCAGUACUGCUUGGCUCACACUCAGCUGGAUGCUGUGCUCCUUGCCACGGAAGAAGCAGUUGGCCUGCAGGCACCGUGGCUCCUCCAUGGUUGCCAGAGGGCUACCAGGACCGGGACUUCGGGUGCCCCCGCAGGCCGCGAGGCUCCCCAGGGACGCUGCGGAGCCUGAGCUGGGAGCGCCAAGGCGCCUCCGCGUCCCGCGGCGAAACCAGGCAGCUCCCGGUG